GUACAGAGGUCCCGAGCGUUGUUCGGAUUCAUUGGGCGUAAAGGGUGCGUAGGCGGCUUCCUAAGUUUGAUGUGAAAUCCUGGGGCUCAACCCUGGAACCGUGCAUUGAAUACUGGGAGGCUAGAGUACUGGAGAGGAAACUGGAAUUUACGGUGUAGCAGUAGAAAUGCGUAGAGAUCGUAAGGAAGACCGUGGCGAAGGCGAGUUCUGGACAU
rnacentral:rRNA from 1 species